rnacentral:rRNA from 1 species
CGUAGGUAACCUGCCUUGUAGCGGGGGAUAACUAUUGGAAACGAUAGCUAAUACCGCAUAACAAUGGAUGACACAUGUCAUUUAUUUUGAAAGGGGGCAAUUGCUCCACUACAAGAUGGACCUGCGUUGUAUUAGCUAGUAGGUGAGGUAACGGCUCACCUAGGCGACGAUACAUAGCCGACCUGAGAGGGUGAUCGGCCACACUGGGACUGAGACACGGCCCAG